CAAAUACUCCCUCCGUCCGGAAAUACUUGUCAUCAAAAUGGAUAAAAGGAAAUGUAUCUAGACGUAUUUUAGUUUUAGAUACAUCUAUUUUUAUCCAUUUUGAUGACAAGUAUUUUCGGACGGAGGGAGUAGAAA
rfam:Triticum aestivum genome assembly, contig: Triticum_aestivum_CS42_TGACv1_scaffold_507230_6BL